rnacentral:rRNA from 1 species
AGUGAACGCUGGCGGUAGGCCUAACACAUGCAAGUCGAACGGCAGCACAGUAAGAGCUUGCUCUUACGGGUGGCGAGUGGCGGACGGGUGCGGAAUACAUCGGAAUCUACUUUUUCGUGGGGGCUAACGUAGGGAAACUUACGCCAAUACCGCAUACGACCUACGGGGGAAAGCAGGGGAUCUUCGGACCUCGCGCGAGCGUAUGAGCCGAUGGCGGGUUAGCGAGUUGGCGGGGUAAAGGCCCACCAAGGCGACGAUCCGUAGCUGGUCUGUGAGGAUGAUCAGCCACACUGGAACUGAGACACGGUCCAGACUCCUACGGGAGGCAGCAGUGGGGAAUAUUGGACAAUGGGCGCAAGCCUGAUCCAGCCAUACCGCGUGUGUGAAGAAGGCCUUCGGGUUGUAAAGCCCUUUUGUUGGGAAAGAAAAGCAGCAGGUUAAUACCCCGCUGUUCUGACGGUACCCAAAGAAUAAGCACCGGCUAACUUCGUG